AUUGAACGCUGGCGGCAGGCCUAACACAUGCAGGUCGAGCGGAUGAAGGGAGCUUGCUCCUGGAUUCAGCGGCGGACGGGUGAGUAAUGCCUAGGAAUCUGCCUGGUAGUGGGGGAUAACGUCCGGAAACGGGCGCUAAUACCGCAUACGUCCUGAGGGAGAAAGUGGGGGAUCUUCGGACCUCACGCUAUCAGAUGAGCCUAGGUCGGAUUAGCUAGUUGGUGGGGUAAAGGCCUACCAAGGCGACGAUCCGUAACUGGUCUGAGAGGAUGAUCAGUCACACUGGAACUGAGACACGGUCCAGACUCCUACGGGAGGCAGCAGUGGGGAAUAUUGGACAAUGGGCGAAAGCCUGAUCCAGCCAUGCCGCGUGUGUGAAGAAGGUCUUCGGAUUGUAAAGCACUUUAAGUUGGGAGGAAGGGCAGUAAGUUAAUACCUUGCUGUUCUGACGUUACCAACAGAAUAAGCACCGGCUAACUUCGUG
rnacentral:rRNA from 1 species